GCUCUUGUGACGAAAUUGGUAGACGUGUUAGUUUUAGGAACUAAUGUCUUUGAUAUAUGGGUUCGAGUCCCAUCAAGAGCA
rnacentral:tRNA from 1 species